GCAUCAUUAAAAACAUGCUGAUGUUUUUUAUCUGGGCAAUUAUUAAGGUAUCUAGAGUGCAUUAGUUCACGGAGCCCCUGGAAAUCUACUGACGGAGUUCCUGGAAAUCUACUGACGGAGUUCCUGGAAAUCUACUGACGGAGUUCCUGGAAAUCUACUGACGGAGUUCCUGGAAAUCUACUGACGGAGUUCCUGGAAAUCUACUGACGGAGUUCCUGGAAAUCUACUGACGGAGCCUUCAUAGGCCCUCAUGUUAAGAAGAGCCUGGGUUAGAGGUUUGGAGGACCCCCAGAAGAAGAAGAGAGAGAACUCAUGCACGACUGUUCAUGAAUUCACAACAUCAAACACUGCAUUACCAACUUAUUUGCAAGACUUUCACAUGGAGAUUAGCAAUGUUGUUGCCUUCUCAAAUGUCUUGCCCCAGGCCUAUCUCCUGUGAAAAUGGGCUCUCUUGUCGCUUUCCCAUAUUAUGGCCGACAAGAAGAGGCCUACAUUUAAAUCCAGAAGCCCUGUUAAAAUCUGGCAGCUGGGAAAGGUAGAGACAAGCCUUUGGCUCACACUUAGCUGACAGCAAAAAUAAGCCUCAAGCCCAAACAGAUGAGUGAGAGAGGUACGAGAGAUGGCUCAUGUGAGCUGGCUCGCCACCAUCCAUUUUAGCAUCCAUCUUUGGCCAGCCAUGGUCAUCCUUAAAAAUAUCACUAUGUGGGCAUGAGACUGAAUGAAGAUGGCGGCUAUGUGACUCGGAACAAAGAGUAAGAUUGGUCUCGCUUAUCCUAAGACUGUGUAAUACAAUGACGGAAGCAACAACGCCCAAGAAGAGUUGUACUUUUUGCAGACUGGCCUGGGAAUUUGCUGUCAAGAAGCCCUCAAUUUGAUAUUUUGCAAGGGUCCCUCUUGGUAUGUUUUGCUGCCAAGCGGGGGGGGGGAGAGGGGGAGUUUCCCUUGACAUAGCCCUCAUUAAACUGGCCCCCCGGGAAAUUUCCCGAUCUUCGCGAUGGCCAGUCCGAUGCUUGCCUCAUGUAUAAAUAAUUACCAAAAUACAAGAAACUCCUGACUUAAUGAAUGAUACCAAAAGUACAGACAUGAUUUCAUAAAGUUAGUAACUAUCAUCCAAUCAGAGGAAAGUAAGCGAGGAGUGAGGGAGGGCGUGUUCAAAAACCGAUGCAAAGGGUAUAGAUAGCUGACCUCACAAACAGGACGCUGGCUAAGAAGCUGUUUAUAUCCUGAGGGAAAGACAUCACAAGAAUGAGACAACUGUGAACAGGAGUGCUUACUCUGUGAAUGUGAUGUCCUUGAAUUAGUCUUAGAUCUGAUGCAAGGUGAGCAACUCUGAAUCAGAUUACUGCAAAAGUCAAUUUAAGGCACAAGUAAGCAGUUCCAUUCAGUACAGUCCAUCAAGGUUUUCAAGGAGAUACUGUGGUCCACACACCCCCCCAUUACACUUAGUAAUGCAUUUGUGAAGCCAAGGGAUGGAGGUAGUGAUCUACUGAAGAAAUAAAUAAAGUCUUAUGCUUAUAUUAAUCAUUCUUCAUCUUGUUCUCAGUAGAUGAAGACCUUGGUGGAAGAUGGCAAGAAAACUCCACUGCCUUGAAUAAUUAUUCCUCACAAAAUCAGGUUCUGGUGAUUCUAUUAUUCUGCUUCCGGGAUGGUUUCCACUGUCUAUUCAGUGACGCAGAGUGGAAGGUAAAGGUCAAUUCCGUUCUGUCUUCAUCAAAUGGUGGAGCAUCUUUGUCUUAAUGGGAAUGGAACGUUCCAGAUGACAGUGCUGCUGUCCAUGUUGCAUGAGUGGACAGUAAAUGGUUUGAUGGGCAUGAGAACGGCACAAGUCUCACAUCAUGAAGAUUUCAGGUGCUGGGAAAGAUACCGUUACUGACUCUAUGCCUCCUGGGUCUUGGUGUUUUAUUACGGCAGGUACCUGUUUAUAUGUUUCAAUGCGUGGUGCGUGUGUAGUUUCAAUGUUGCGUUAUACGGCACACCAUAUCCACCGGUCCCACUAACAGAGCAGCCUGGCAGCUGGCUCCUACCCGCCUGCGACACAUCAUUCAGUCUUUCGCUGUGCAUGAUGGCUUUUGGCUUGCCACGGGUAUCACUGUUGCCAACUAGAGCGUAGCGGAUGCUGUAGCGAGAACGUGCGGCGGCCUUGGGGCGGGGGGGGGGGGACAUUGAGGCAGUAUGCGACUGCAUUCCCACCUCCCUGCCACCCCCUCAGCUGUCAGCCAGCUUGUUCCCACGCCUCUCUCCCUGCCUCUGUCCCCAUAGCCCAAGGGAGG